CCCUUACUCAUCCAGGAGGAGUCAAACAGGGGUACUGGGGCUAGAAAAAAUUCACCCGCGUUUGAUUAAAUUUUAAUUUCUGGAAACCGGAAAGCACAGAGCAGGGGUGACAGGGCUGAAGGGGACGGUUCUCGCCUACCAAGGUGCAGGGAGGGGUCGCGUGGGAACCGAAGCAGGUAGUGAGGGAGGAUCCGGGAUCCCCGGCUCCGCUGUCUCUUCCGGCGCAGUACGGAGCUGCACCCCACCCGGCCGGCAGGACCUCAGGCUGCGAGGGAGGCCCGAGCUCUCCAAGAGAGAUGGUAUCUUGUUCUGUUGAUCUCAAAAUCCUGGCCUCAAGCAAUCCUCCUGCCUCAACCUUCUGAAGUGCUGGUAUUACAAGUUUUAGCCACUGUGCCAGGGUCUCACUCUGUCUUCCAGUCUGGAGUGCAAUGGCAUGAUUAUGGCUCACUGUAGCCUUGACCUCCUGGACUCAGGUGAUCCUCCCACCUCAGCCUCCCAAGUAGCUGGGACUACAGAUGCGAUACUGACGGCACUUUGCAAUAGACUUCCUGACUGCAGCUCUCCAUCUUGGAGUCUGAUUCCUGGGGACCUGGUUCACAACAGCCCACCACAGGCUCUGAAGUCAGACAGAACUGGGUUUCAAUCUUAUCCCAAACACCAGCUAGAUAUGUAACCCUAGAGAUGGUAUGGGAGAAACAAAGCUUGCCAUGGCGACUGGAUCAGAUCUCUCCAAGACAACUUCCAUCUCUAAAGUAGCAACCACUGGGAGGCCCCAGCAUGACUGUAUAUUCAGCAGUGCUCUCUGUCCUGUGAAGAAUUUACACCUUCUUUAUUGGGCCAAAAUAACUAACAAAACUGGUCAUCUCUGCUUUUUACAACUCAAGUGGCCAGGCUUAGCAGCUGAUGUCUUCCCUCAGAAGUGGAAUUACAUUUACCAAGCUCAUGAGACUGAGAUGGAAAAUUGGAAUGUCAAUGUAUUCACUGAUAACAUGAAAUAUAAUUGUUAAGCAGACUGGCAUCUACUCAGCACAACCAGCACAUUCUUUCCUGAAGGCAGAUCCAAGUGAAAAGUCAAAUUACACAGAGGGUGGCUUGGUGAGCAUUUAAUCAUUCAACAUGAUCUGCUAAAAGACAAUUGCAUGUCAAGCACUGUGCUGGACACUAGGUGGAGAAUACUGAAUAAGGAAGACAGGACUCUGUACUUGUAGAUUCCAAAGUGUAGGAAAAAGACAAGCUUGAAUGUAUCAUCAGAUUUGUAGGUUGGAGAAAAAAAAAGACUGCAUAUCUUAGGCUCUGCUUUCUCCCUGGAUCCACUAAAAUAACAGUACAGGCUUUUGUUUUGUUUUGUUUUUGUUUUAAUGCAGUCUUACUCUGUCUCCCAGGCUGGAGUGCAGUGGCGCAAUCUCAGUUCACUGCUACCUCUGCCUCCUGGGUCAAGCAAUUCUCCUGCCUCAGCCUCUCUAGUAGCUGGGAUUACAGGUGCCUGCCGCCAUGCCUAGCUAAUUUUUUGUACUUUUAGUAGAGACGAGGUUUCACAAUCUUGGCCAGGCUGGUAUUGAACUCCUGACCUCAUGAUCCACCUGCCUUGGCCUCCCAAAGUGCUGGGAUUACAGGAGUGAGCCACCGUGCCUGGCUGGGGAUUUUUUUUUUUAAGACAGUGCAUUCGGGUGGGGCUCAGCAAACUAUGGUCUGCAGGCCAGAUCCAGCCUGUUGCUUGUUUAUAUACAGUCUGCAAGCUAAGAAUAUUGUUCACUAUUGUCUGUGGCUGUUUUCAUACUACAAUGACACAGUUGAGUGGAUGCAAUGGAGACCAUACAGCAUGCAAAGCCAAGAAUGUUUACUAUCUGCCUUUUACUGAGAAAAUGUGCCAAGCCCAGUGCUGAACAGCACUGUUCAAUAGAAUUUUCUGCAAAGAUUUAAAUGUUCUGCACCGCCUGAUGCAGUAGCCAACCAUUAGCUUUGUGUGGCUAUAGAGCACUUGAAACGUGGCUAGUGCAGUUGACAAACUGAAAGUUUAUUUCAUUUCAAUUAAAUUUAAUUAAUUAACUUAGUUAUUUAUUUCUGAGACUAACUCUUGCUCCGUUGCCCAGGCUGAAGUGCAGUGGCACGAUCUCAGCUCACUGCAACCUUCGCCUUCUGAGCUCAAGCAGUCCCUCUGCCUCAGCCUCCCGAGUAGCUGGCAUCAUAGACACUCACCACCAAGCCUAGCUAAUUUUUGUAUUUUUAGUAGAGAUGGGGUUUUUACCAUAUUGGCCAGGCUGGUCUUGAACUCCUGACUUCAAGUGAUCCACCUGCCUUGGGCUCCCAAAGUAAUGGGAACACAGGUGUGAGCCAUUGCACCCAGCCUAUUUUAGUUAAAUUUAAAUAGCCACAUGUGACCAGAGGCUACUCUAUUAGAUAGCACAGCUGUAGAGGGCAAGAGAAAGGGUGUCUGGCUUGAGUGACACCAAGCUUAGUGAAGAUAGGGGCUUCGGACUGAAAACAGAAGGAUGAAGAGAAAGUUCACAUCAGGAAGGUUGAGAUGACCUGCUCAGUGGCUUCUUGGGCUUCUUUUCCAGCCUAGACUCCAGAAUGCUGACUCUGAACAAAUAAUGCUGACCCUAAACAAAUAAUGAGACUUACAGGUUAAAAAAAAAAGACUAUUAGCAGGUAUGGUGGCAUGUGCCUGUAGUCCCAACUACUCAGGAGGCUGAGGUGGGAGGAUUGCCUGAGUCUGGGAGAUCAAGGCUGGGUGAGCCGUGAUCACUGCACUCCAGCCUGUGUGACAGAGUGAGACCAUGUCUAAAAAAAGAAAGGAAAGAAAGAAAGAAAGAAAACUGCACAGAACUAUACUCCCUAAGGGAUGAUUAUCCUCUCCCAAAAAGAAGCUAGAAGAGUCUUUUCUAGAGAAUUUAAGCAAUUCAGAAGGAAACACCUAAAGAUUUUGAUAUUGAGGCUCCCUAAUGGAUAGUCACAUCAAAGCUCAUAGUUAAUAAGCCCUCCUCACAUGUAGCUUCCAAUAAGUUUUAGUCUAAGUCUCAUCCUUCGAUAUAAGCAAAAAGUCAAGGAUCAUCAUAGGUGUUUUAUUAUUUUGUUACUUAGGUUAAUACAAUGUAAAGAUUAGUAGAUUUGAGGAAAGCCUGCAAUAAAUAAGAAAGAGAUCAAACAGAUAAAAACAGGCAAAGAUACAUGGAAACCUAUUUUAUUAAAUUAGGAGAUCCAUGAUGUUGAAUUAUGAGAAAAAUUGUCUUUAUUUUCGCAAAGUUCAACUUAAACUUAGCACUUCCUUCAAUUAUGAACACAAUAGACCAUAGUAGUAUUAGUAUUCCUGUGACUUCAUCACCAACAGAAAUCAGAUAUUUUCCUAUCACAUUGCUAUUGCUGAAAUUAUUUUAAAAUAUCACUUAAUGUUCAUCACAACUUUGAAAUUAUGGUCAUUAUUAGACAUGUUAUAAAUCUUUUAAAAGCACAAAUGUUAGUCUAUGACUGAUUUGCUUUUUAAAUAUUUUGAUAGAUGUACUUUAAUAUGAAUGAUUUUUUUUGUAAUCCUAUGUAUACAAUUUUAUUCAUUUAAAAAAUAUGCUGAGAAGGCAUCCUUGAACUUCAUCAGACUGCAGAGGGGUUCAAGGCACAAGAGGGGUUAAGAGAAUCUAUAAUAAUGUUCUCUUUACAGCUAUAAGUGGAUGGGGAAAUGCAGAUAAUAAUCAUUAAGCAAUAUGUGCCAGAUUUUAAAAUUCAAAAUUCUAAGAGGUAUAUAUUAUUAUUAUUUUGUUAGUUUUUAUUAGAAUUUUGAAAUUCUUAUGUUAUUUCAAUGGGAUAUUUGGAGAGAAAAGACAUGAACUGAUGUGCUUAAUCAGUCCUCUCAACGCAAAGGCCAGCUUUCUUUUGUGAAAAUAGUAUGUGUACAUCAUAAGCGAGUAAGAGAAGUGCAAUAAGGACAGCAAAAAUCACCCUUAACUUCCCUACUUGUUUGGUAAACAUCAUUCCAGACAGCAAUCUAUGUAUAUAGACAUAAAUAUACAUAUGCACAUAUAACUUAUAUAAAGAUACCUGUACAUGGGGACUUCAAAGAGUUUGGGGGAAAGUGAAAUUAAAGAUAAAAAUAGAAAACCUAAACUUAAAAUAACAAAAAAUCAAAUAAAACAAAUAAAAAAACAAAAAAGAUUAAAAAAUAAAAAAUAAUAAACUUUAUUUCUCAACAUAAGCACCGUCAAGUUCAAAACACUUUUGUAAGUGAUGAUACUAGCUAUUUAGUCCAUCCCUAAAAAACUGAGGCCUAGAGAUUUAGCCAUGUCAAUGCCAUCUUUUUUACAUUAUUAACUAAAGAAAACUGAGUGUCCUUUAAAUAUAUUUUGAGAUUAGAAAACAAAAAAGCCAUCAGAAGAAGCCAAAUCAGAACUGUAAGGUGGAUGCCUAAUGAUUUCCUGUUGAAACUCUUGCAAAAUUGACCUUGUUUGAUGAGAGGAAUGAACAGGAACAUUGUCAUGGUGGAGAAGGACUCCGGUGAAGCUUCCUGGGCUUUUUUUCUGCUAAAGCUUUGGCUAACUUUCUCAAAACACUCUCACAGUAGGUGGAUGUUAUUAUCCUUUGGCUCUCCAGAAAGUCAGCAAGUAAAAUGAGCAUACCCUCAAAAACUGUUGCCAUGAUCUUUGCUCUUGACCAGUCUGCUUUUGCUUUGACUGAACCACUUCUAUCUCUUGGUAGCCAUUGCUUUGAUUGUGCUUUGUCUUUAGGAUUGUAUUGGUAACUGUUUCAUCCCUGUUACAGUUCUUUGGAGAAAUGCUUCAGGAUCUUGGUCUUACUUGUUUGCAAUUUCCAUUGAAAGCUCUGCUCUUGUCUGUCUGCAGCUUAUCUGGGUGCAACACUUUUGGCACCCAUCAAGUAGAAAGUUAAAUUUAAUUCUUCAGUCAAAAAAGGAGUAAAAUAAAUGGACAGAAAUUGUCCCUGAGGAAGUCCAGGCAUUGGACUUACUAUCCAAAGACUUUACAUCAGCUGUGUUUGAUAUGCUCGAAGCACUAAAGGAAAUCUUGGACAAAGAACUGAAGGGAAUUAGGAAAACAAUGUAUAGAACUACAUAGACAGUCUGGAGAUGAGAAGUAUAACUAAAAUAAAAAAUCUAUUUGCUGGGCCUCACCCAGUUUAAUUACAUCAAAAUCUUUGGAGGUGGUACUCCAACAUCAGUAUUUUCCAAAGCUCUGUCAAGGUUGAAAACCUCUGUCCCAGGGAUUCUGUUUUAGGAGGUCCAGGGCUGUGAAUAUCAACCACAGAGGCACAUUAGCAUCACCUCGAGAGCCUUAAAAAUGCUGUUGUUCAGACCUCUCUCCAGACCAAUUAAAUGAGAAUCUUUGAGGGUAGGCACUGGGUAUUGGUGUUUCAAUCAAGUUACAAUUUUUUUUUUUUGACAUGGUCUGGCUCUAUUACCCAGGCUGAGGUGCAGUGGCAUGAUCUUGGCUCACUGCAGCCUCUGCCUCCUGGGCUCUACCCAUUUUCCCACCUCAGCCUCCUGAGUAGCUGGGACUACAAGCAUAUACCACCAUGCCUGGCUAAUUUUUUGUAGAGAUGGGGUUUCACCAUGUUGCCCAAGCUGGUCUUGAACUCCUGAGCUCAAGCCGUCUGCCUGCCUUGACCUUCCUAAGUGCUGGGAUUACAGGCAUGAGCCACUGUGCCUGGGGCCUUCCCUUACAAUUUUGAUGACCAGCCAAGGCUGGAAACUUUGGAGAUUCUCUUGCUGUCCUUCAUAUCUCCAAAAGCCUUUUUUCAACACAAAUGCCAAG